rnacentral:rRNA from 1 species
AGGAAUAUUGGUCAAUGGACGAGAGUCUGAACCAGCCAAGUAGCGUGAAGGAUGACUGCCCUAUGGGUUGUAAACUUCUUUUAUACGGGAAUAAAGUUAGCCACGUGUGGCUUUUUGUAUGUACCGUAUGAAUAAGGAUCGGCUAACUCCGUGCCAGCAGCCGCGGUAAUACGGAGGAUCCGAGCGUUAUCCGGAUUUAUUGGGUUUAAAGGGAGCGUAGGCGGGUUGUUAAGUCAGUUGUGAAAGUUUGCGGCUCAACCGUAAAAUUGCAGUUGAUACUGGCGACCUUGAGUGCAACAGAGGUAGGCGGAAUUCGUGGUGUAGCGGUGAAAUGCUUAGAUAUCACGAAGAACUCCGAUUGCGAAGGCAGCUUACUGGAUUGUAACUGACGCUGAUGCUCGAAAGUGUGGGUAUCAAACAGGAUUAGAUACCCUGGUAGUCCACACAGUAAACGAUGAAUACUCGCUGUUGGCGAUAUACGGUCAGCGGCCAAGCGAAAGCAUUAAGUAUUCCACCUGGGGAGUACGCCGGCAACGGUGAAACUCAAAGGAAUUGACGGGGGCCCGCACAAGCGGAGGAACAUGUGGUUUAAUUCGAUGAUACGCGAGGAACCUUACCCGGGCUUAAAUUGCAACUGACUGAACCGGAAACGGUUCUUUCUUCGGACAGUUGUGAAGGUGCUGCAUGGUUGUCGUCAGCUCGUGCCGUGAGGUGUCGGCUUAAGUGCCAUAACGAGCGCAACCCUUAUCGAUAGUUACUAGCAGGUCAUGCUGAGGACUCUAUUGAGACUGCCGUCGUAAGAUGUGAGGAAGGUGGGGAUGACGUCAAAUCAGCACGGCCCUUACGUCCGGGGCUACACACGUGUUACAAUGGGGGGUACAGAAGGCAGCUACACGGCGACGUGGUGCUAAUCCCGAAAGCCUCUCUCAGUUCGGAUUGGAGUCUGCAACCCGACUCCAUGAAGCUGGAUUCGCUAGUAAUCGCGCAUCAGCCACGGCGCGGUGAAUACGUUCCCG